AUGAAGUUUGGGUUAAGUGGGGGAAGACCACAAACAUCAGACAUAAGUCUGAUGUUGGUGUCGAUGCAAGGCAAGGAGACAUGAGGGUUUCUCAUGGUGGUGAAUGUUGAAGAAUUGAGGUAGAAUCCAACCUUAACUCUCUUGCAUGAAUCAAGAUUCUACAUCAUCUAGCCCUAUAAAUCACUUGGGAUCAUGUCGAGACGGAAUCAAGCACGGAAGGCUAACGGGUCAAGAAGUGGCAAGAAAACGGAUACGAGCACGAAUGCAUAAGGUCUGAACCAGGCGCAAGGUUGCGCCCCCCUGGCACAAGGUUGCGCCCCUGACUGAUGUCUUCUGUAUUGCGCCAGAACUGGCACAAGGUGGCGCCAGAUUGGUUUCUUCUUGCGCCAAUUGCUGGUUCUUUCAUAUUUUUCGCAUUCUUCAACUCCAAACUUGUGUGAAGGCUAUCUAACUACG